GAUGAACGCUGGCGGCGUGCCUAAUACAUGCAAGUCGAGCGAACAGAUGAGGAGCUUGCUCCUCUGACGUUAGCGGCGGACGGGUGAGUAACACGUGGAUAACCUACCUAUAAGACUGGGAUAACUUCGGGAAACCGGAGCUAAUACCGGAUAAUAUAUUGAACCGCAUGGUUCAAUAGUGAAAGACGGUUUUGCUGUCACUUAUAGAUGGAUCCGCGCCGCAUUAGCUAGUUGGUAAGGUAACGGCUUACCAAGGCAACGAUGCGUAGCCGACCUGAGAGGAUGAGCAGCAACAAGGGAAGUGAGAAACGGGAAAGACUACGCAGGGAGGGAGCAGUGGGGAAUCUGGGACAAGGGGCGAAAGCAUGAACCAGCCAGACAGAGGGGGAGAAGAAGGCUUUCGGGUGGUAAACCCUUGUUGUUGGGAAAGAAAAGCAGAAGGUUAAUAAACCGCUGUCCUGACGGUACCUAAAGAGUAAGAAACGGCUAAAUUCGUG
rnacentral:rRNA from 1 species